rnacentral:rRNA from 1 species
CAUGGCUCAAGACGAACGCGGCGGCGUGCUUAACACAUGCAAGUCGAACGCUGAAGCUUGGUGCUUGCACUGGGUGGAUGAGUGGCGAACGGGUGAGUAAUACGUGAGUAACCUGCCCUUGACUCUGGGAUAAGCCUGGGAAACUGGGUCUAAUACUGGAUACGACGGCGCAUCGCAUGGUGUGUUGUGGAAAGGGUUUUACUGGUUUUGGAUGGGCUCACGGCCUAUCAGCUUGUUGGUGGGGUAAUGGCUCACCAAGGCGACGACGGGUAGCCGGCCUGAGAGGGUGACCGGCCACACUGGGACUGAGACACGGCCCAGACUCCUACGGGAGGCAGCAGUGGGGAAUAUUGCACAAUGGGCGGAAGCCUGAUGCAGCGACGCCGCGUGAGGGAUGACGGCCUUCGGGUUGUAAACCUCUUCAGCACGAAGAAGCGAGAG